UACGGGGGGGGCAAGCGUUGUUCGGAAUUCCUGGGCGUAAAGGGCUCUUAGGCGGCCAACUAAGUCGGAUGUGAAAUCCCCAGGCUUAACCUGGGAACUGCAUCCGAUACUGGAUGGCUUGAAUUCGGGAGAGGGAUGCAGAAUUCCAGGUGUAGCGGUGAAAUGCGUAGAUAUCUGGAGGAAUACCGGUGGCGAAGGCGGCAUCCUGGACCGACAUUGACGCUGAGUGAGCGAAAGCUAGGGGAGCAAACGGG
rnacentral:rRNA from 1 species